rnacentral:rRNA from 1 species
GUGACUGCGUACCUUUUGUAUAAUGGGUCAGCGACUUAUAUUCUGUAGCAAGGUUAACCGAAUAGGGGAGCCGGAGGGAAACCGAGUCUUAAUUGGGCGUUAAGUUGCAGGGUAUAGACCCGAAACCCGGUGAUCUAGCCAUGGGCAGGUUGAAGGUUGGGUAACACUAACUGGAGGACCGAACCGACUAAUGUUGAAAAAUUAGCGGAUGACCUGUGGCUGGGGGUGAAAGGCCAAUCAAACCGGGAGAUAGCUGGUUCUCCCCGAAAGCUAUUUAGGUAGCGCCUCGUGAAUUCAUCUCCGGGGGUAGAGCACUGUUUCGGCUAGGGGGCCAUCCCGGCUUACCAACCCGAUGCAAACUGCGAAUACCGGAGAAUGUUAUCACGGGAGACACACGGCGGGUGCUAACGUCCGUCGUGAAGAGGGAAACAACCCAGACCGCCAGCUAAGGUCCCAAAGUCAUGGUUAAGUGGGAAACGAUGUGGGAAGGCCCAGACAGCCAGGAUGUUGGCUUAGAAGCAGCCAUCAUUUAAAGAAAGCGUAAUAGCUCACUGGUCGAGUCGGCCUGCGCGGAAGAUGUAACGGGGCUAAACCAUGCACCGAAGCUGCGGCAGCGACACUGUGUGUUGUUGGGUAGGGGAGCGUUCUGUAAGCCUGCGAAGGUGGCCUGUGAGGGUUGCUGGAGGUAUCAGAAGUGCGAAUGCUGACAUAAGUAACGAUAAAGCGGGUGAAAAGCCCGCUCGCCGGAAGACCAAGGGUUCCUGUCCAACGUUAAUCGGGGCAGGGUGAGUCGACCCCUAAGGCGAGGCCGAAAGGCGUAGUCGAUGGGAAACGGGUUAAUAUUCCCGUACUUGGUGUUACUGCGAAGGGGGGACGGAGAAGGCUAUGUUGGCCGGGCGACGGUUGUCCCGGUUUAAGCGUGUAGGUGUGUGUUCCAGGUAAAUCCGGUUCACUUUAACACUGAGGCGUGACGACGAGGCACUACGGUGCUGAAGCAACAAAUGCCCUGCUUCCAGGAAAAGCCUCUAAGCAUCAGGUAACAUCAAAUCGUACCCCAAACCGACACAGGUGGUCAGGUAGAGAAUACCAAGGCGCUUGAGAGAACUCGGGUGAAGGAACUAGGCAAAAUGGUGCCGUAACUUCGGGAGAAGGCACGCUGACACGUAGGUGAAGUGAUUUACUCAUGGAGCUGAAGUCAGUCGAAGAUACCAGCUGGCUGCAACUGUUUAUUAAAAACACAGCACUGUGCAAACACGAAAGUGGACGUAUACGGUGUGACGCCUGCCCGGUGCCGGAAGGUUAAUUGAUGGGGUCAGCGCAAGCGAAGCUCCUGAUCGAAGCCCCGGUAAACGGCGGCCGUAACUAUAACGGUCCUAAGGUAGCGAAAUUCCUUGUCGGGUAAGUUCCGACCUGCACGAAUGGCGUAAUGAUGGCCAGGCUGUCUCCACCCGAGACUCAGUGAAAUUGAACUCGCUGUGAAGAUGCAGUGUACCCGCGGCAAGACGGAAAGACCCCGUGAACCUUUACUAUAGCUUGACACUGAACAUUGAGCCUUGAUGUGUAGGAUAGGUGGGAGGCUUUGAAGUGUGGACGCCAGUCUGCAUGGAGCCGACCUUGAAAUACCACCCUUUAAUGUUUGAUGUUCUAACGUGGACCCGUUACCCGGGUUGCGGACAGUGUCUGGUGGGUAGUUUGACUGGGGCGGUCUCCUCCUAAAGAGUAACGGAGGAGCACGAAGGUUGGCUAAUCCUGGUCGGACAUCAGGAGGUUAGUGCAAUGGCAUAAGCCAGCUUGACUGCGAGCGUGACGGCGCGAGCAGGUGCGAAAGCAGGUCAUAGUGAUCCGGUGGUUCUGAAUGGAAGGGCCAUCGCUCAACGGAUAAAAGGUACUCCGGGGAUAACAGGCUGAUACCGCCCAAGAGUUCAUAUCGACGGCGGUGUUUGGCACCUCGAUGUCGGCUCAUCACAUCCUGGGGCUGAAGUAGGUCCCAAGGGUAUGGCUGUUCGCCAUUUAAAGUGGUACGCGAGCUGGGUUUAGAACGUCGUGAGACAGUUCGGUCCCUAUCUGCCGUGGGCGCUGGAGAACUGAGGGGGGCUGCUCCUAGUACGAGAGGACCGGAGUGGACGCAUCACUGGUGUUCGGGUUGUCAUGCCAAUGGCACUGCCCGGUAGCUAAAUGCGGAAGAGAUAAGUGCUGAAAGCAUCUAAGCACGAAACUUGCCCCGAGAUGAGUUCUCCCUGAGAC